UACGUAGGGUGCAAGCGUUAAUCGGAAUUACUGGGCGUAAACCGUGCGCAGGCGGUUUUGUAAGUUUGUCGUGAAAUCCCCGGGCUCAACCUGGGAAUUGCGAUGAAGACUGCAAGGCUAGAAUCUGGCAGAGGGGGGUAGAAUUCCACGUGUAGCAGUGAAAUGCGUAGAGAUGUGGAGGAACACCGAUGGCGAAGGCAGCCCCCUGGGUCAAGAUUGACGCUCAUGCACGAAAGCGUGGGGAGCAAACAGG
rnacentral:rRNA from 1 species